GUUCGAUCUGGCUCAGACGCUGGCGGAUGCUUACCGCAUGCAAGUCGAACGGCAGCACGGACUUCGGUCUGGUGGCGAGUGGCGAGCAGUGUAAUGUAUCGGAACGAUUACUGCCUGGUAGCGAGGAUAACUACGCGAAAGCGUAGCCUAAUACCAUACGCCCUUCAGGGGAAAGCGAGGGACCUUCGGGCCUCGCACUAUUAGAAACGGCCGAUAUCAGCGGAUUAGCUAGUUGGUGGGGUAACGGCUCACCAAGGCGACGAUCCCGUAGCGCUGGUUUGAGGAUGUCGCCACUGGGACUGAGACACGGCGGCCCAGACUCCUGGGGAGGCGGCAGUGGGAAUUUUGGACAAUGGAAACCUGAUCCAGCCAUCCCCGCGUGCGAUGAAGGCGCUGGUUGUAAAGCACUUUUGGCAGGAAAAGCUUGGCACGGGAUAAUACCCGUGCAACUGACGUACCUGCAGAAUAGCACAGAAAGCUAACUACGUGCCAGCAGCCGCGUACGUAGGGUGCAAGCGUUAAUCGAAUUACUGAGGCGUAUAAAGCGUGCGCAGGCGGUUCUGAAGAAAGAUGUGAAAUCCCAGAGCUUAACUUUGGAACUGCAUUUUCUAAUACCGAGCUGGGGAGAUAUUGUCAGGAGAAUUCCGCUAACAGUGAAAUGCGUAGAUAUGCGGAGGAACACCGAUGGCGAAAACGCAGCUCUGGAUACUACUGACGCUCAGUAUUACACGAAAGCGUGGGGAGCAAACAGGAUUAGAUACCUGGUAGUCCACGCGCCCUAAACGAUGUCAACUAGCUGUUGGGGCCUUCGGGCCUUGGUAGCGCAAUAACGUGAAAGUUGACCGCCGCAAAUACAGUCGCAAGAUUAAAAACUCAAAGAAUUGGGCAGGGACCCGCACAAGCGGAAAUUGGAUGAUGGAUUAAUUCGGUGGCAUGAAAAACACACACUUGACAUAUGUCUGGAAUCCCGAAGAGAUUUGGGAGUCUACCUUGAAGGGAACAGGCACAGGUGCUGCAUGGCUGUCGUCAGCUCGUGUCGUGAGAUGUUGGGUUAAGUCCGCAACGAGCGCAACCCUUGUCAUUAGUUGCCACGAAGGGCACUCACAAUGGGACUGCCGGUGACAAACCGGGGAAGAUUAGGGAUGACGUCAAGUCCUCAUGGCCCUUAUGGGUAGGGCUUCACACGUCAUACAAUGGUCGGGACAGAGAGGUCGCCAACCCGCGAGGAGCCAAUCCAGAAACCCGAUCGUAGUCGGAUCGCAGUCUGCAACUCGACUGCGUGAAGUCGAAGUCGCUAGUAAUCAUGUCAGCAUGUCGCGGUGAAUACGUUCCCGGGUCUUGUACUGCACCGCCCGUCACACCAUGGAAUUGGGUUUUGCAAGUAGUUAGCCUAACCGUAAGGAGGGCGAUUACCACAGGAUUCAUGACUGGGGGUGAAGUCGUAACAGGUAG
rnacentral:rRNA from 1 species